rnacentral:rRNA from 1 species
UACAGAGGUCCCAAGCGUUGUUCGGAUUCACUGGGCGUAAAGCGUGCGCAGGCGGUUAUGUAAGACAGUUGUGAAAUCCCCGGGCUCAACCUGGGAACUGCAUCUGUGACUGCAUAGCUAGAGUACGGUAGAGGGGGAUGGAAUUCCGCGUGUAGCAGUGAAAUGCGUAGAUAUGCGGAGGAACACCGAUGGCGAAGGCAAUCCCCUGGACCUGUACUGACGCUCAUGCACGAAAGCGUGGGGAGCAAACAGG